rnacentral:tRNA from 1 species
AAGGGAGACCUAAUUCCGGUAGGAGACGAAAAAAAAGUAGUCCCUACCAAGAAUCAAUCCCAAAAGGUCGGAACGAGGUAUGUGGCUUUCAAACUAGGUUCUGGGUUCACAAAAGACCUGAAUCAGGAACAAGGGCUAUUAGCUCAGGUGGUUAGAGCGCACCCCUGAUAAGGGUGAGGUCCCUGGUUCGAGUCCAGGAUGGCCCACCUGCACAGGUGGCAAAAACAAGAGAAACGAGGAAUCAGCACCUUAUCUUACUUACAUAGUAAGAGAGAAUGCUGGCUCUGAGUAAAGAGUCCAGAGGAACCUUGAAAACUGCAUAGAGCUAGGUGAAAAAGCCAAAAAAGAAGACCGCAA